UGCAAGUCGAACGAGAAAUUUCCGCUUCGGCGGGAAGAGUAAAGUGGCGCACGGGUGAGUAACGCGUGGGUAACCUGCCCCCGAAUUCGGGAUAACUUCGCGAAAGCGGCGCUAAUACCGGAUAUCGUCCCAGGGGCUUUGGUCUCUGGGAUGAAAGAUGACCUCUCCAUGGAAGUUGUCGUUCGGGGAGGGGCUCGCGUACCAUUAGCUUGUUGGUGGGGUAAUGGCCUACCAAGGCGACGAUGGUUAGCUGGUCUGAGAGGAUGAUCAGCCACACUGGCACUGAAACACGGGCCAGACUCCUACGGGAGGCAGCAGUGAGGAAUUUUGCGCAAUGGGGGAAACCCUGACGCAGCAACGCCGCGUGAGUGAAGAAGGCCUUCGGGUCGUAAAGCUCUGUCAAGUGGGAAAAACGUCAGACGAUGAACAGUCGUCAGGCUUGAUGGUACCACUGGAGGAAGCACCGGCUAACUCCGUGCCAGCAGCCGCGGUAAUACGGAGGGUGCAAGCGUUGUUCGGAAUUACUGGGCGUAAAGAGCGUGUAGGCGGCAAGGUAAGUCAGGCGUGAAAGCCCUGGGCUUAACCCAGGAAGUGCGUUUGAAACUGCCUCGCUAGAGUAUGGGAGAGGAGAGUGGAAUUCCCGGUGUAGAGGUGAAAUUCGUAGAUAUCGGGAGGAACACCCGUGGCGAAGGCGACUCUCUGGACCAAUACUGACGCUGAGACGCGAAAGCGUGGGGAGCAAACAGGAUUAGAUACCCUGGUAGUCCACGCCGUAAACGAUGAGCACUAGGUGUAGCGGGUAUUGACCCCUGCUGUGCCGUAGCUAACGCAUUAAGU
rnacentral:rRNA from 1 species